GACGUAGGGUGCAAGCGUUGUCCGGAAUUAUUGGGCGUAAAGAGUUCGUAGGCGGUUACUUAAGUCUGGUGUUAAAGCCCGAUGCUCAACAUCGGCAUGGCAUUGGAAACUGGGUAGCUAGAGUGUGUCAGAGGUUACGGGAAUUCCUGGUGUAGCGGUGAAAUGCGUAGAUAUCAGGAGGAACACCUGUGGCGAAAGCGCGUAACUGGGGCAUAACUGACGCUGAGGAACGAAAGCCAGGGUAU
rnacentral:rRNA from 1 species